rnacentral:lncRNA from 1 species
UGGGUUUGGACCAGGGUUUGCCCGUGGCCUGUGCUCGUGUAGGAGCUAGAGUGUGAUUGUGUCAGGUGUACACCGGCUGAGCACACAAUGUGCUUGGCCUGAUGGGUGCUGAGUGGGACUUCAGAAGUCUAUUUGCUAAACUGACAGGUACAUUACAGUGGGAAAGAGAAAGGAGCCUGGUGCUUUUUUUUUUUUUUUUUUUUUUUUGGACCAUUUCUACAGCUCCACUGAAGAUGGCUUUGGUUCAUUACCCCUCCCCCCAUCUCCACUUUUAACCAGGUUGGCCACCAAGCUCCGGUCUUAAACCUCCCCCGUAGUUGGGACUUCAGGCAACCAUGCCUAACUGAAAACAUUUUUUUUUCUGAGUAUUUGUAGUAUGCGCCAUGACAGAACUAGGUUUUGGAGAUACUGUGUCAACCAGAAAGAUACCUCCACUUUAGUGUGGGAGAUCUUGACCUAGAGACAAAGUCCAGAAAUAAGAAAAUAUUUGUCAACAAAUACAUGUUUUCCAUGUGGCGAGCAAUGAAAACUAACUGUCCUUGUACAGCUUUCCUUCUAACAUGUGGGAAGACAGUAAGGACAGGGUCUAGUAAACACGGAGUGUGUUACAAAGAACCAGAUACUAACAGGG